rnacentral:rRNA from 1 species
UACGUAGGGGGCAAGCGUUGUCCGGAUUUAUUGGGCGUAAAGAGCGUGUAGGCGGCCUGGAAGGUCAGCUGUGAAAACUCGAGGCUCAACCUCGAGACGUCGGUUGAAACCACCUGGCUAGAGUCCGGAAGAGGAGAGUGGAAUUCCCGGUGUAGCGGUGAAAUGCGCAGAUAUCGGGAAGAACACCCGUGGCGAAGGCGGCUCUCUGGGCAACAACUGACGCUGAGGAGCGAAAGCGUGGGGAGCGAACAGG